UUAUCCUGGAAAAAGAGAUUCACAAAGAGGACAAACAAAGUGUCAUGUCAGAGAAGAAAGAGACACAGUCAUGGAAAACAGAAUUUAUUAUACACAAUUCAUUAAAACUGAAUGUUCUUGUUACUGAAUUCAGUGAAACUAAUAGAGACUCACCUUGUUUAGCAGUGAUGCCAAAUGCGAUAUCAGUCACGCAAAAAUCAAAAAAUAAAUAAAAAAUGCUGACCCCCAUACAUUUGAACUGUGGUCUACUGUCUUAAAAAUGAACUAAAAAGUACAAAAAAUGUCUUCAAGAAACACAAAGAUGAGAAAAACAACCCAAACUGUACAUUUAUUCCUUUUCAUUUACAGAGUCAUAAAAUCCACAAAGCCUUACAAAGUCCACUAGCAGCAGCACUGAACACUAUUCAAGAAGUCUAGAGCUGAACAAACACUUUUUUUGCAUCUUGCAGCUUUUUUUUACAAAUAACUGGGAAAUAAUACCGAACAAAAAGUCCUGAACAGUCAAUACUGCAUUUAUUUUUGUCAAACUGGAUGAUGAAAGCAAUGCCAAUUAUAACUGCUGUGAUCACGCCGAUGCGGUUCAAAGUAUUCUGUAGUUUGAGGAAGUGAUGUCAAGAGGCCUCAGUGACAUCGCUGUCUGCUGAUUUACUAACGGCUCCCUUUAAAGAUUUCUUUUAUCUGUGAUGAGAUAAACGAGGUCAAUCUAUUAUGUGAGAUAAAGAUCGGAACCUAGAAUAGAAUCAGAGGAUCCAAUCAGAAGAGACCCGUUCUCCACCUCAGACCUUCACAGCAGUAAAUUACAUGCAACCACUACACGGAUAACUCAAUUAUUAAAAUUGCGUUAAUCUGAUAUUUCAUACUAGUUCAAACCCACCUCAGCCUCUAUUACAGAUCACUGAUAGAACACAUGAAUUAGAUUUUAUUCUCCGACGCUUUUAUUCCUCAUUGUUCGAUUUGGGUUAGUCACAUCGCUGUGGACUGUGGCUUAUUAAAUUAAUUAAAAAAUAGAUUUGGUUCACUCUGUCAUUCUGUUUUACUAAUGAACAGGAAAUUAAACCAACAAUUCAUUAGUCCUAUUUCAUCCUAUAGAUGGCGUUUUGGGUAAAAUAACGAUGCAAUCAUUAACAAUGACUGUGCAGGAUAUUUAAUAAUUCCCAAUCUAAAAAACAACACAUCAUGCUCUUAAAAACACUCUUAACCAAAACUGCUUUUUUACAUCCAACAGAUAAAUUAGCCCUUAUGCUAAUGAUUAAAUGUUUUUUAAUCACAGAUUUAACCUCACCGUACAAGACUUCUGUGCAAAGCAGGGCUAUCAUUUUGCUUUAAUGGCAUCUGGGCCUUCACUAACUCGAGUGUCCUGAUUUAUUAUCUGCAAAUUGUUUCUGUGAAGCAGACCAAAUGUGCGCUUGAUUCCUGUAGAUAUAUUGCUGAUCACUGGCAUGAGGCAAGACCUCCAUAUCCGUUUGUAUUAUUUUUGUUUUGUCAUGCAGAUGCUAAUAAAUAUACCAAUUCUAUUGUUUAUUAUCUGCAUUUUUUUA